rnacentral:lncRNA from 1 species
UUCAAUAUAUUUUCUUUAAACCCUAGAGUUGAUCAUGUUAAUCAAUCAAGAAAAUACUUUAGCCAUAAGCGGAAGCGUACCUGAGUUUGAGUUCGCCAUAGGUGAUGAUCAAAGGUCACGGGUAUGUUUGAUCUUCCAACCGCAGAAUUCCUUAUUGGCUCCUGAAACCUCCUCUGAUGGGGAUGAAGAGAGAACUUUUGUAUGAGCGCCGUUUUCACGUUAUUCUGCAAUUGGGGACCAUAACCCCAAUAAAUAACCUUAGGGUUAUUUCCUAUUUUUCAAUUCUCUAAUUUGGCCCCUCAUCAAAUUAGAUAUUGACUUAUGGUAUCUACACAAUAAAUUGUCUUUCAUGAUAUUUAUGCUUUUAGCCAUAGACUUAUAUAUUACUAAUUAGACCACUGAUGCUUUGGCUAAUUACAUAAUGACCCUAACACAUGUAACAUUAC